GUAGGUGAACCUGCGGAAGGAUCAUUACAACGUAUCCACGUAUCAACCAAAUGUGAACCUCCCAUCCGGAGCAAAACUUAGUGUGUCGUUAAUGGCCGAACUGUUAAAGCGGCGCUUUCCACAGAUGGAGAUGUUGGACCUAACCGUCUGACCUCUAGGAAGCAUGGGCGGACAUUAAUACCGCAUCUGAAGCAAAAGGACGCCUCAACUCUGAAAGAGCUGACGACCGAACGGACCUGCGGUCGAAAUU
rnacentral:misc_RNA from 1 species